rnacentral:rRNA from 1 species
UACGUAGGUGGCAAGCGUUGUCCGGAUUUAUUGGGUUUAAAGGGUGCGUAGGCGGCUUUGUAAGUCAGUGGUGAAAUAUGGCAGCUCAACUGUCAGGGUGCCAUUGAUACUGCGGAGCUUGAGUACAGAUGAGGUAGGCGGAAUUGACGGUGUAGCGGUGAAAUGCUUAGAUAUCGUCAAGAACACCGAUAGCGAAGGCAGCUUACUGGGCUGUAACUGACGCUGAGGCACGAAAGUGUAGGGAUCAAACAGG